rnacentral:rRNA from 1 species
ACGGAAGCAGAACUCACAGCAUUAGACACAUCAUGCGUCGAAGCAGAAUGGCUUCGAGAGCUUUUGAUGGAUUUGCCGGUGGUUGAUAAACCAGUGCCGGCUGUUCUUAUGAACUGUGACAAUCAAACGGUGAUUGCCAAGGCUAAGAGUUCAAAGGACAACGUGAGAUCCACAAAGCACAUAAGAAGAAGAUUGAAAUCUGUCAGAAAAUCAAGAAACUCCGGAGUAAUAGCGUUGGAUUAUAUCCAAACGGCUAAGAAUCUGGCAGACCCUUUUAUGAAAGGGCUAUCACGGAUUGUGAUAGAAAAUGCAUCGAGGGAGAUGGGUAUGAGACCCACGUAA